rnacentral:tRNA from 1 species
AUUUUUAUAGUUGAGAACAACAGCAGCUUUUCACGUUGCAGCCCUGGGUUAGACCCCCAGUAAAAAUA